GCUUACGGCCACACAGCCUGGUUCACGCACGAUCUCGCUUUGAUCUCGGAAGCGAAGAUAGGUUGGGCCUGGUUAGUACUUGGAUGGGAGACCGCCUAGGGAAUACCAGGUGCUGUAAGCC
rnacentral:rRNA from 1 species